rnacentral:rRNA from 1 species
UACGUAGGGGGCAAGCGUUGUCCGGAAUCAUUGGGCGUAAAGCGCGCGUAGGCGGCCCGGUCAGUCCGUUGUGAAAGUCAAAGGCUCAACCUUUGAAUGCCGACGGAUACUGCCGGGCUAGAGUCCGGAAGAGGCGAGUGGAAUUCCUGGUGUAGCGGUGGAAUGCGCAGAUAUCAGGAGGAACACCGGUGGCGAAGGCGGGUCUCUGGGACGGUACUGACGCUGAGACGCGAAAAGCGUGGGGGAGCGAACAGG